UCCCCACAAUCAAUCUGGAGAAAGGUCCCAACACGAAACGUCACCUGUUCAUCUGCGUUACUCCAGC